CCUCAAGUUCCCUCCCAUCUGGUGAUCUGGAGACUGCUUUACAUGCCUUUAUUUCUCACCAUCUUGAUUUGUUGGGGUUUUCUGUGUGUGUCUGCUCUGCCUAGUCUGCCUGCCUGCCCGGUUUCUCACUGGCACCCAGCAGAGAUGUCGUAUCUUCCUCUCCUGACCUCCCAUGGAGAGCUAUUUGUUUGGCUCUGUUAUUUGUUUUUAAAGUGCUACAUGUUGCUUGAAAUCUUUGAAUACCUUUGGCCCUUUUCCACAUCCAGACCACUUAUAUCUACAGCUGAGUAAGUCUGUCUUGUCCCAGAGCUCAUAAUAACUUAAACUCACCACUGAACUGUGAACGUUUGCUCCUUUCCUUUUACUGUGGCUCUUGUAUUUAUUGAGAGUUGGACAGUGAAAAGAGAAGGAGACUGGGAGAGGGAAAGGAGAAUGACAUGUGGCAAAGGACUACAACAUCGGACACCCAGGACCAUGGCCUCUGUACCCGUGUGUGGAAUUAAACCUGUGGGCCAGGCUAGUGCCCACAAUGCUCUUAACAUCGAAGAAUGAAAGUGUAGAUAGAUAGAUAGAUAGAUAGAUAGAUAGAUAGAUAGAUAGAUAGAUAGAUAGAUAGAUAGAUAGAUAGAUAGAUAGAUGACUUUAUUAAGAGAGAAAUGAGAAAUGAAACUGUCAUAGCAGUUUGGAAAAAUACAAUAAAUUAAUAAAAUACUGAAUAAGAA